rnacentral:rRNA from 1 species
UACGGGGGGGGCAAGCGUUAUCCGGAUUCACUGGGUUUAAAGGGUGCGUAGGUGGGCAAGUAAGUCAGUGGUGAAAUCUCCGGGCUUAACCCGGAAACUGCCAUUGAUACUAUUUGUCUUGAAUACUGUGGAGGUCAGCGGAAUAUGUCAUGUAGCGGUGAAAUGCUUAGAUAUGACAUAGAACACCAAUUGCGAAGGCAGCUGGCUACACAAAUAUUGACACUGAGGCACGAAAGCGUGGGGAUCAAACAGG